GAUGAACGCUGGCGGCGUGCUUAACACAUGCAAGUCGAACGGAAAGGCCCAAGCUUGCUUGGGUACUCGAGUGGCGAACGGGUGAGUAACACGUGGGUGAUCUGCCCUGCACUUCGGGAUAAGCCUGGGAAACUGGGUCUAAUACCGGAUAGGACCACUUCUUGGAUGUUGUGGUGGAAAGUUUUUUCGGUGUGGGAUGAGCUCGCGGCCUAUCAGCUUGUUGGUGGGGUAAUGGCCUACCAAGGCGUCGACGGGUAGCCGGCCUGAGAGGGUGUACGGCCACAUUGGGACUGAGAUACGGCCCAGACCCCUACGGGAGGCAGCAGUGGGGAAUAUUGCACAAUGGGCGCAAGCCUGAUGCAGCGACGACGCGUGGGGGAUGACGGCCUUCGGGUUGUAAACUCCUUUCGAUAGGGACGAAGCGUUUUGUGACGGUACCUGGAGAAGAAGCACCGGCUAACUACGUG
rnacentral:rRNA from 1 species